CUGCAGCAGGAUCAUUG
rnacentral:rRNA from 1 species